rnacentral:rRNA from 1 species
AGCAGCCGCGGUAAUUCCAGCUCCAAUAGCGUAUAUUAAAGUUGUUGCAGUUAAAAAGCUCGUAGUUGAAUUUCGGGGUCAGUAGGUCGGUCGUGCCACUGGUAUGCACUGGUCUCACUGAUUCCUCCUUCUUGAAGAACCGUAAUGUCAUUAACUUGGUGUUGCGGGGAAACAGGACUGUUACCUUGAAAAAAUUAGAGUGUUUAAAGCAGGCCAGCGCCUGAAUACAUUAGCAUGGAAUAAUGAAAUAGGACGUUCGAUCCUAUUUUGUUGGUUUCUAGGAUUGACGUAAUGAUUAAUAGGGAUAGUUGGGGGCAUUAGUAUUCAAUUGUCAGAGGUGAAAUUCUUGGAUUUAUUGAAGACUAACUACUGCGAAAGCAUUUGCCAAGGAUGUUUUCAUUAAUCAAGAACGAAAGUUAGGGGAUCGAAGACGAUCAGAUACCGUCGUAGUCUUAACCAUAAACUAUGCCGACUAGGGAUCGGAUGAUGUUAAUUUUAUAAUGA